rnacentral:rRNA from 1 species
ACGGGAGGCAGCAGUGAGGAAUAUUGGUCAAUGGACGGAAGUCUGAACCAGCCAAGUCGCGUGAAGGAUGAAGGUAUUAUGUAUUGUAAACUUCUUUAGCAGUGGAGUAAUAAGGGGAUCGCGAUCCCUGAUGCAAGUACACUGAGAAUAAGGAUCGGCUAACUCCGUGCCAGCAGCCGCGGUAAUACGGAGGAUCCGAGCGUUAUCCGGAUUUAUUGGGUUUAAAGGGUGCGCAGGCGGCUUUUUAAGUCAGUGGUUAAAUCGUGACGCUCAACGUCAUCACGCCAUUGAUACUGGAGAGCUUGAUUGCGGUCGAGGUUUGCGGAAUUCGUUGUGUAGCGGUGAAAUGCAUAGAUAUGACGAAGAACUCCGAUUGCGAAGGCAGCCUUCUGGAGUGCGAUUGACGCUGAGGCUCGAAAGCGCGGGUAUCAAACAGGAUUAGAUACCCUGGUA